GCUGAUGCCUUCCUGGUGGUCGAGGUCCGUUGGGCCUGCCUCCCUGCCGUAUCUGAGCAAGCUCGGCUGUGAUAGUCCUAAGGCUCGCCCUCAGUUCUUCAUUGUCAGCUAGGAGCUGAGCGUUUAUGGCCGCUUGGUCUUGACCUACAUCUCCCAUAGUUCUCUGAAAGAAACUCAAAGAAAGAUUAAAGGCAAGAGGGGGUUAAAUAGUUGCUUGAGUCGGAUACUAUGAGUAUCGACCAAGGCUAAUACUAAAUGCAAAAAUUUAAGACAAAAAUCGAAUCAGGUUUGAAAAAGGAAAGAGAGGAUAUAUUUUUUUUUUUUUUUGAAAACUUGGAGAACAAUCCGAGAGUUUAAAAAAAUUAAGGAAAGUAAGUAUAUUUUUUUUUUUUAAAUGGAAAAAUCGAAAACUUGGAGAACAAUCCGAAAAAAAAAAAAAUAAGGAAAGUAAAUAAUAAAUUUUUUUUUUGAAUUGUGACGGCUAGGGUUCAGAAAGAACUGAGUUUCGCAGGAAACUUCAGCUCUGAUACCAAAAUGUUGUAGGCACGGGUCGGAGGGUCGGACGGACGGACGGACGCACGAACGGAUGGCCGUUCCGCGGUUCAGCUUUGCCUCGG
rnacentral:lncRNA from 1 species